GACGAACGCUGGCGGCGUGCCUAAUACAUGCAAGUUGAGCGCUGAAGGUUGGUACUUGUACCGACUGGAUGAGCAGCGAACGGGUGAGUAACGCGUGGGGAAUCUGCCUUUGAGCGGGGGACAACAUUUGGAAACGAAUGCUAAUACCGCAUAAAAACUUUAAACACAAGUUUUAAGUUUGAAAGAUGCAAUUGCAUCACUCAAAGAUGAUCCCGCGUUGUAUUAGCUAGUUGGUGAGGUAAAGGCUCACCAAGGCGAUGAUACAUAGCCGACCUGAGAGGGUGAUCGGCCACAUUGGGACUGAGACACGGCCCAAACUCCUACGGGAGGCAGCAGUAGGGAAUCUUCGGCAAUGGACGAAAGUCUGACCGAGCAACGCCGCGUGAGUGAAGAAGGUUUUCGGAUCGUAAGACUCUGUUGGUAGAGAAGAACGUUGGUGAGAGUGGAAAGCUCAUCAAGUGACGGUAACUACCCAGAAAGGGACGGCUAACUACGUG
rnacentral:rRNA from 1 species